rnacentral:rRNA from 1 species
GUCCACGCAGUAAACGAUGAUAGCUCGUUGUCGGCGAUACACAGUCGGUGACUUAGAGAAAUCGAUAAGCUAUCCACCUGGGGAGUACGUUCGCAAGAAUGAAACUCAAAAGGAAUUGACGGGGGGCCCGCACAAGCGGAGGAACAUGUGGUUUAAUUCGAUGAUACGCGAGGAACCUUACCCGGGCUUGAAAGUUAGUGACGGACUUGGAAACAGGUCUUCCCUUCGGGGCACGAAACUAGGUGCUGCAUGGUUGUCGU